UACGUAGGGACCAAGCGUUGUCCGGAUUUAUUGGGCGUAAAGAGCUCGUAGGCGGCUCGUUGCGUCGGCUGUGAAAACCCGCAGCUCAACUGUGGGCUUGCAGCUGAUACGGGCGGGCUGGGAUUCGGUAGGGGAGACUGGAAUUCCUGGUGUAGCGGUGAAAUGCGCAGAUAUCAGGAGGAACACCGGUGGCGAAGGCGGGUCUCUGGGCCGAUAUCGACGCUGAGGAGCGAAAGCGUGGGGAGCGAACAGG
rnacentral:rRNA from 1 species